UUGUCCUUCCCUUGCCAUGGUUGUCUCGAGGCCACGACGGCGGCCGCUUCUUCAGGGCAGCCGCCAAAAUGAAGAACAAAUGCCCAACAGGUCUUGCAUCGGGAAAUCCGCCGCGGUCCAGACACAGCAAUUCAGAUUCUUGCUUACCUGAUAUCCUUACGCUGGACAAAAUGUGUAUAUAAUUAAAAAAGAAAGCAAUAACAAAUGUACAGAAGAUGCAGCAGAUGGGAAAGCUACGUCCACACAGCUACAAGAUUGCCACAAGUUUCGAACUCGGAUAUUCAUAUAUCAUCCACAGGAACCACAGGCUGCAGAUGUAAAAGCAGGCGUACCUGUCCGAUCAAAAAAAAAAAGCAGGCGUACCUGUUCGAUCAAAAAAAAAAAAGCAGGCGUACCUGGGAUAAAUGCUCCAGUUCAACGACAAUGCUUUCAAUGUGACAACAGACUUUUCGCCACCGGCUUCCUUAUAUCAGGAGCAGAUUUCAAUAACUCACGUUAGUUUGAAGAAAGAUGAUCCAAAAGUGUGCAGAAACAAGAGCCCUGGUUUAAAUUCUAAAACAAAUUGAUAUACGUAAUAUAUUAUUUCAAAAUCACCCAUGGGAGGCUGCAAAAGAAGAUCAAAGUUGAGGCAGCUAAAUUUCAGUAGAAGCCACAAUUGUAGAUCUAGAAGGACACAUGAAAACGAUAGAGUGAGCAGAGGAACCUACACAGCACCAGAAACAAUCUUCCUCAUUCCAUUUGCUCUCAGUUAAGUUUUUAUAGCAUCCAGCCUUGUUGAAUUCAUCAUGAAUGUCCAGAUAUAAUUACAUUAGCAUAUUACCAAGGUUAGAAUUUUCUAGCAGGGAUUUAGAACUCGGAUGAAAGAUUCAGAAUAUUUAUUAAAAGAUCUUCAAAAAGAAUUUCCUAGGUAGCAGGUUAGCCGUGCUCCAAAAUUUAACAUCGUAAAGAGCUCAUUAGUAGUUAAGUAUAAGCUAUGCCUGCUGUCUUCAACAGCGGAAAUUAUUAAAUUGUCUCACUGCUUUAUAUAUAGUUCUCUCCUGCAAUAUAAGUGUCAAUUCCAUAGAAUUUUUGUAAGAAUCAGAAGCUCUGUGUGCAACUGUAACAGCAAUAGAUUUAUGGUAGCCUGAUGUCCCCCCAUGCUGGAGGAAAUAUGUACGGAUGAAUGGCAACAAAUAUAAAGAAAAGGAAAGCAUUACCGAAUGGUCCGAAUAUGCACUGGACUGGAAAGCUACAUACACACAGCUACAGGAUUGCAAUAAGCCAAACUAGAAUGUCCAAAUAGCAUCCACUCAUGAUCCCAAAUGGCAUAUAUAAAAGCACGUGUACGUGAGGUAUCCAGGAGAGUCAGACUUUAGAGAAAGAUGAUCUGAAAGUGAAGAAACAAUACGACGAAUUUAGAUUCGAAGUUCGUCCAGUCAACAAAAACAACAGUUAAUACACACCAUCAAAUAACAAAACACAUUGAUAUAGGCAACAUAUUAUCUUCAAAGUCACCCAUUUGAGGCCAUACCAGAAGAUCAAAUGUGAAGCAGUCAAAUCUUGAAAGUUCCAGAAGAAGCCAAGAUUGUAGGUCUAGAAGGACACAUGAAAAGAUUCGGUAAUAAUUAAAGAUUCAAUUGUUUUUUGUUACCAAAUAUAAGAAUAUCUUUUCAAAAAUGUUUUACUCCAUGUCAAAAUGAGAUGUUGAAUCCUUGAAACAUGAAUUUAUUUUUUUACUCAAACGGCAUUAUAUAUAUAUAUAUAU